UCCGGGGUAGCUCAGCUGGCAGUAGCAUCUGACUGUUAAUCAGAGGGUCGUGGGUUCGAGCCCCACCCCCGGAG
rnacentral:tRNA from 1 species